rnacentral:lncRNA from 1 species
AAAAAAAAAAAAAAAAGGCCCAAUUAAAGACUUCUCAUUAGAUGCUCACACUUUGAGUGUGUGGCUAUUGGCUCACCAGGUGAAGCCUUCAAGUCUUCAGAUCAGGACACAGAACAGGGCUCUGUCCCCAGCAGUGGAAGGCAAACGUGCUCACUGGAAAGAAGACAACGGAUGGGGAGGAGAGCCAGCCGGCCAGAGAGGUGACGGGCUUUAGAAGGGUGAAAGUCUCCGUAGCUUGGUGCAGGAGCCCUGGCAGCGAUCUCGUCUGCAGCUGUAGGAGGAGGCAGGUGGCAGGAGUUCCUCUGAAACACGACACGCGUGGGCACAGAACCACGUCCAAGCUCCAUGUGAUUAUUG